GUAGAUGGAACGAAAGCUAAGAACGCAGCUUCCGGCUGCAACACUUUUGUGGCCCACAUCGUGUGGG
rnacentral:sRNA from 1 species